UGCGCAGGCGGUUGUGCAAGACAGAUGUGAAAUCCCCGGGCUUAACCUGGGAAUGGCACUUGUGACUGCACGGCUAGAGUGUGUCAGAGGGGGGUAGAAUUCCACGUGUAGCAGUGAAAUGCGUAGAUAUGUGGAGGAAUACCGAUGGCGAAGGCAGCCCCCUGGGAUAACACUGACGCUCAUGCACGAAAGCGUGGGGAGCAAACAGGAUUAGAUACCCUGGUAGUCCACGCCCUAAACGAUGUCAACUAGUUGUCGGGUCUUAAUUGACUUGGUAACGCAGCUAACGCGUGAAGUUGACCGCCUGGGGAGUACGGUCGCAAGAUUAAA
rnacentral:rRNA from 1 species